GGUAAUGUGGCUUAGUGGUAGAGUGCUUGCCUAGCAUGUAUGAAGAUCUGGAUUUGAUUCCUCAGUACCA
rnacentral:tRNA from 1 species